rnacentral:lncRNA from 1 species
AGCCUCUCAGGGACUCACAGUGAAGCUCCAGCAGGUCCCCCACCACAGUGUGGGCCCUGGGAGCCCUGAAGGAGACCUUAGUGGCUGACAGAGAACCUAAACCCUGGCUUGCAACUCGAGGCUGUGUGAAAGGAAUCGGAACUUACUUCUCACGGUGACUCGAAUCCACGUGCUGAGGAUGGGGCUGUGAACGUUAUCAGCUGCACAGUAGUAUCUCCCUGCAUCACUCUCCUUCACGAAUGACAUUGUCUCCUUCAAAGACAGGAUGUAAAGCCUGCAGGAUCAGCCAGUCUGCAAAGAGCACAGGAGCACACUCAGGAGCUGUGAGGGAGCAGAAAAUGACAAUCAGACACUCUCCGAAACAUUUUCUAACAACCUAACCACAACCACUUCUUUUGUUUUUCCUUAUCAUUUCUUUGCUCCCUUUUUAUAUCAUCCAGAGCCCCUAAACAACAAAGAAAAUGUCAUAUAAUGUAUUUUACAAACGUGAUGGCUUAUGUCCAAGGCCUGACCUCAUCUCUGCUAUUAUUUACUUGGCCACGGCACACUUUAUUCUCUCCUUCUCUUCUCUGAGUGCAGAGGCAGACAAGGACUUACAGAAAUGGUUUAUCCUCCUUUCGUUCCUUGGGCUCCUAUUGUUCCCCUCACUUUUUCAAUCUCUGAUUAAAUUUUGGCUUAAAACUUCUAGAAAACAGUGAUGUUUCUCAGUAAACCUUCCUUCACGUGCCUAGGUUUUUAGAAGUAACUGCUCAUCUGAAAAAUUAUUUAGUCUGAG